GAUGAACGCUGGCGGCGUGCCUAAUACAUGCAAGUCGAGCGAACAGACGAGGAGCUUGCUCCUCUGACGUUAGCGGCGGACGGGUGAGUAACACGUGGAUAACCUACCUAUAAGACUGGGAUAACUUCGGGAAACCGGAGCUAAUACCGGAUAAUAUAUUGAACCGCAUGGUUCAAUAGUGAAAGACGGUUUUGCUGUCACUUAUAGAUGGAUCCGCGCCGCAUUAGCUAGUUGGUAAGGUAACGGCUUACCAAGGCAACGAUGCGUAGCCGACCUGAGAGGGUGAUCGGCCACACUGGAACUGAGACACGGUCCAGACUCCUACGGGAGGGAGCAGUAGGGAAUCUUCCGCAAUGGGCGAAAGCCUGACGGAGCAACGCCGCGUGAGUGAUGAAGGUCUUCGGAUCGUAAAACUCUGUUAUUAGGGAAGAACAAAUGUGUAAGUAACUAUGCACGUCUUGACGGUACCUAAUCAGAAAGCCACGGCUAACUACGUG
rnacentral:rRNA from 1 species